rnacentral:rRNA from 1 species
UGAACGCUGGCGGCGUGCUUAACACAUGCAAGUCGAACGGUAACAGCAGAGCUUGCUCUGGCUGACGAGUGGCGCACGGGUGAGUAAUAUAUAGUUAAUGUGCCUCGAAGACCGGGAUAGCCAUUGGAAACGAUGAUUAAUACUGGAUAUACCUUUCUUUCAUAAGUUAGAAAGGGAAACGUUUUUUCGCUUCGAGAUCAGACUAUAUCCCAUCAGCUUGUUGGUGAGGUAAGAGCUCACCAAGGCAAUGACGGGUAGCGGGUUUGAGAGGAUGAUCCGCCACACUGGUACUGAGACACGGACCAGACUCCUACGGGAGGCAGCAGUGAGGAAUAUUGCACAAUGGGGGAAACCCUGAUGCAGCAACGCCGCGUGGAGGAUGACGCAUUUCGGUGUGUAAACUCCUUUUAUAUGUCAAGAAAAUGACGGUAGCAUAUGAAUAAGCACCGGCUAACUCC